rnacentral:rRNA from 1 species
UAGCCGCAGUAUUAUGACUGUGCAAAGGUAGCAUAAUAAUUAGUCUAUUAAUUGUAGUCUUGUAUGAAUGGUUUGACAAUGGAAUACUUUUUUACUAAUAUGGUUGAAUUUUAAUAAUUAGUGAAAAUGCUAAUAUUUAUCAUAAAGACGAGAAGACCCUAUCGAGUUUAAUAUUUAAGUAUUUGUGAAUUAGUUUAAUUAGAUGUGAUAAUAUUUGGUUGGGGCGAUUUUAUUAAUUGAAACAUUAAAAUUAUAUUGAUUAUUAUUUGAUCCAUUAUUAAUGAUUAAUAGAAUAAAUUACCGUAGGGAUAACAGCGUAAUUUUAUUUGAGAGUUCUUAUUGAUAGUAAAGUUUGCGACCUCGAUGUUGGAUUAAGAUUCCUAUUUGGUGCAGAAGCUUAAUUAGGUAGACUGUUCGUCUAUUAAAAUCUUACA